rnacentral:rRNA from 1 species
UACGUAGGGGGCGAGCGUUGUCCGAAGUUACUGGGCGUAAAGCGCGCGUAGGCGGGAAAUUAAGUGAGAAGUGAAAUCCCCGGGCUUAACCUGGGAACUGCAUUUGUGACUGCAUUGCUGGAGUGCGGCAGAGGGGGAUGGAAUUCCGCGUGUAGCAGUGAAAUGCGUAGAUAUGCGGAGGAACACCGAUGGCGAAGGCAAUCCCCUGGGCCUGCACUGACGCUCAUGCACGAAAGCGUGGGGAGCAAACAGG